rnacentral:rRNA from 1 species
UACGGGGGGAGCAAGCGUUGUUCGGAUUUACUGGGCGUAAAGGGCGCGUAGGCGGUCAGCACAAGUCAGUUGUGAAAUCUCCGGGCUUAACUCGGAAAGGUCAACUGAUACUGUGCGACUAGAGUGCGGAAGGGGCAACUGGAAUUCUUGGUGUAGCGGUGAAAUGCGUAGAUAUCAGGAAGAACACCCGUGGCUAAGGCGGCUCUCUAGUACGGUACUGACGCUGAGACGCGAAAGCGUGGGGAGCGAACAGG